AAAAAGACAAUUUAAUAAAAAUAGUUAUGUUAGAACCAGGGAAAUAAGUGAAAUUCUUAUGCUGUCCCAGCAACUGUAAUACGGAUGAAAGCCAUUAGCCACUGAAAGUAAUUUUGGGAAGGCGGCAAGUAAAAUGAUGUUAAGCCAGAAGACCUCUCUAAUAAUAAUUAGCCUA
rnacentral:ncRNA from 1 species